GGUUAAGUUAGAAAGGGCGCACGGUGGAUGCCUUGACACUAGGAGUCGAUGAAGGACGGGACUAACGCCGAUAUGCUUCGGGGAGCUGUAAGUAAGCUUUGAUCCGAAGAUUUCCGAAUGGGGAAACCCACCAUACGUAAUGGUAUGGUAUCCUUAUCUGAAUACAUAGGGUAAGGAAGACAGACCCAGGGAACUGAAACAUCUAAGUACCUGGAGGAAGAGAAAGCAAAUGCGAUUUCCUGAGUAGCGGCGAGCGAAACGGAACAUAGCCCAAACCAAGAGGCUUGCCUCUUGGGGUUGUAGGACAUUCUAUACGGAGUUACAAAGGAACGAGGUAGACGAAGCGACCUGGAAAGGUCCGUCGUAGAGGGUAACAACCCCGUAGUCGAAACUUCGUUCUCUCUUGAAUGUAUCCUGAGUACGGCGGAACACGUGAAAUUCCGUCGGAAUCUGGGAGGACCAUCUCCCAAGGCUAAAUACUCCCUAGUGAUCGAUAGUGAACCAGUACCGUGAGGGAAAGGUGAAAAGCACCCCGGAAGGGGAGUGAAAGAGAUCCUGAAACCGUGUGCCUACAAAUAGUCAGAGCCCGUUAACGGGUGAUGGCGUGCCUUUUGUAGAAUGAACCGGCGAGUUACGAUCCCGUGCGAGGUUAAGUUGAAGAGGCGGAGCCGCAGCGAAAGCGAGUCUGAAUAGGGCGUUUAGUACGUGGUCGUAGACCCGAAACCAGGUGAUCUACCCAUGUCCAGGGUGAAGUUCAGGUAACACUGAAUGGAGGCCCGAACCCACGCACGUUGAAAAGUGCGGGGAUGAGGUGUGGGUAGCGGAGAAAUUCCAAUCGAACCUGGAGAUAGCUGGUUCUCCCCGAAAUAGCUUUAGGGCUAGCCUUAAGUGUAAGAGUCUUGGAGGUAGAGCACUGAUUGGACUAGGGGUCCUCAUCGGAUUACCGAAUUCAGUCAAACUCCGAAUGCCAAUGACUUAUCCUUAGGAGUCAGACUGCGAGUGAUAAGAUCCGUAGUCAAAAGGGAAACAGCCCAGACCGCCAGCUAAGGUCCCAAAGUGUGUAUUAAGUGGAAAAGGAUGUGGAGUUGCUUAGACAACUAGGAUGUUGGCUUAGAAGCAGCCACCAUUUAAAGAGUGCGUAAUAGCUCACUAGUCGAGUGACUCUGCGCCGAAAAUGUACCGGGGCUAAAUACACCACCGAAGCUGCGGAUUGAUACCAAUGGUAUCAGUGGUAGGGGAGCGUUCUAAGGACAGUGAAGUCAGACCGGAAGGACUGGUGGAGUGCUUAGAAGUGAGAAUGCCGGUAUGAGUAGCGAAAGACGGGUGAGAAUCCCGUCCACCGAAUGCCUAAGGUUUCCUGAGGAAGGCUCGUCCGCUCAGGGUUAGUCAGGACCUAAGCCGAGGCCGACAGGCGUAGGCGAUGGACAACAGGUUGAUAUUCCUGUACCACCUCUUUAUCGUUUGAGCAAUGGAGGGACGCAGAAGGAUAGAAGAAGCGUGCGAUUGGUUGUGCACGUCCAAGCAGUUAGGCUGAUAAGUAGGCAAAUCCGCUUAUCGUAAAGGCUGAGCUGUGAUGGGGAAGCUCCUUAUGGAGCGAAGUCUUUGAUUCCCCGCUGCCAAGAAAAGCUUCUAGCGAGAUAAAAGGUGCCUGUACCGCAAACCGACACAGGUAGGCGAGGAGAGAAUCCUAAGGUGUGCGAGAGAACUCUGGUUAAGGAACUCGGCAAAAUGACCCCGUAACUUCGGGAGAAGGGGUGCUUUCUUAACGGAAAGCCGCAGUGAAUAGGCCCAAGCGACUGUUUAGCAAAAACACAGCUCUCUGCGAAGCCGUAAGGCGAAGUAUAGGGGGUGACACCUGCCCGGUGCUGGAAGGUUAAGGAGAGGGGUUAGCGUAAGCGAAGCUCUGAACUGAAGCCCCAGUAAACGGCGGCCGUAACUAUAACGGUCCUAAGGUAGCGAAAUUCCUUGUCGGGUAAGUUCCGACCCGCACGAAAGGUGUAACGAUUUGGGCACUGUCUCAACCAGAGACUCGGUGAAAUUAUAGUACCUGUGAAGAUGCAGGUUACCCGCGACAGGACGGAAAGACCCCGUGGAGCUUUACUGUAGCCUGAUAUUGAAUUUUGGUACAGUUUGUACAGGAUAGGCGGGAGCCAUUGAAACCGGAGCGCUAGCUUCGGUGGAGGCGCUGGUGGGAUACCGCCCUGACUGUAUUGAAAUUCUAACCUACGGGUCUUAUCGACCCGGGAGACAGUGUCAGGUGGGCAGUUUGACUGGGGCGGUCGCCUCCUAAAGUGUAACGGAGGCGCCCAAAGGUUCCCUCAGAAUGGUUGGAAAUCAUUCGUAGAGUGCAAAGGCAUAAGGGAGCUUGACUGCGAGACCUACAAGUCGAGCAGGGACGAAAGUCGGGCUUAGUGAUCCGGUGGUUCCGCAUGGAAGGGCCAUCGCUCAACGGAUAAAAGCUACCCCGGGGAUAACAGGCUUAUCUCCCCCAAGAGUCCACAUCGACGGGGAGGUUUGGCACCUCGAUGUCGGCUCAUCGCAUCCUGGGGCUGUAGUCGGUCCCAAGGGUUGGGCUGUUCGCCCAUUAAAGCGGUACGCGAGCUGGGUUCAGAACGUCGUGAGACAGUUCGGUCCCUAUCCGUCGUGGGCGUAGGAAAUUUGAGAGGAGCUGUCCUUAGUACGAGAGGACCGGGAUGGACGCACCGCUGGUGUACCAGUUGUUCUGCCAAGGGCAUAGCUGGGUAGCUAUGUGCGGAAGGGAUAAGUGCUGAAAGCAUCUAAGCAUGAAGCCCCCUCAAGAUGAGAUUUCCCAUAGCGUAAGCUAGUAAGAUCCCUGAAAGAUGAUCAGGUUGAUAGGUUCGAGGUGGAAGCAUGGUGACAUGUGGAGCUGACGAAUACUAAUAGAUCGAGGACUUAACCAU
rnacentral:rRNA from 1 species